GGAUGUAGCUCAGUGGUAGAGCAUUUGCCUAGCAUGCAUGAGGCCCUGGGUUCAAUCCCCAGUACCACCA
rnacentral:tRNA from 1 species